UCCUUUCCCUGAACGCAAAGUUUACUGGAAGUUCCCAUGAUGCGUAUGUCAUUAGACAAUCAGGGAUAUGGCACAGAUUAAGAUCAAGUCAACGAGCAGACAUGUGGUUAUUGGGAGACCGUGGAUAUCCUUGCACCCCCUGGCUCAUGACUCCUUACCGUAAUCCCAGGCCAGGACCACAGACGGCAUUUAACUCCGCGCUUACUGCCACUAGGCAGCUGGUGGAGCGCACAAUUGGGGUCCUUAAAGGGCGGUUUCGUGUGCUCCACCGCACUGGUGGCGACAUCAUGUAUUCGCCGGAGAUGGCAAGUAAAAUAGUGGUCCUGUGCGCUAUACUCCACAAUAUCGCGGUAAGGAGUAGCGUAGAGCUUCCUCAGACAGAGGAAUUGCCUGAUGAGGAGCCAGGGGUUGUCCGACACUUCGGUGGGGGGAGUGUUACAAGGAGGGGGAGCCAAGUCAGGGCAAGCAUUGUUGCUGAAUUUUUCAGCUGAAAGACCACACAAACUGAGGACGACCACAACGGCAAGCACCACAUGAUGCACCAGCUCAGCACCCUUCCCCUUCUCACUCCCCCUCCACUUCCCAGUCCCCCUCCCCUUCUCACUCCCCCUCCCCUUCUCACUCCCCCUCCCCUUCUCACUCCCCCUCAGCUUCCCAAUCCCCCUCAGCUUCCCAAUCACCCUCAGCUUCACAA